UACGGGGGGGGUAAGCGUUGUUCGGAAUUACUGGGCGUAAAGGGCUCGUAGGCGGCCAACUAAGUCAUACGUGAAAUCCCUCAGCUUAACUGGGGAACUGCGUGUGAUACUGGAUGGCUUGGAUGUGGGAGAGGGAUGCGGAAUUCCAGGUGUAGCGGUGAAAUGCUUAGAUAUGACAUAGAACACCGAUUGCGAAGGCAGCUUGCUAAACGAUGAUUGACGCUGAGGCACGAAAGCGUGGGGAUCAAACAGG
rnacentral:rRNA from 1 species